UCUGUGUGUGUUGUGUUUGUGUGUGUCAAACUGUCCUAACAAAAACAGCCCCAAAACUGGAGAGACUCCAGAGUCUCUGGAAAAACUAUACAAGAGACUGAUUGACCCCUGUGUGGGUAACACAACCGUUGGACAUUCCCUUUGUUUAACAGGAGUGUUUGAAGGAGUGGCUCUUCCGUUACUCAGGAAACAAAAGAGCAAUUUUAGACUUACAGGAACUCAGAGUCUGAAGCGACUACUGCGGGAGCUGUGUAAGGAAAAUACACCUUUUCACCUAGAAGUUGAGUACAUCUUGAUUUAGAACAGAACAAGAAACAUUGAAGAUGCCUGUUCGUCGUUUUCAUAGUGAACCUCUGGAAAACGCAGAGAUUCUCUAUGAAGACACAUAUCGAACUGGUAUAAGAUGUAACCUCAUUUUCUUCACCCACUCUGGAACACACUACAGGGCUGCAAUAGAAGAAGCUUACCCUCAAUCCAAGGCUAUUCGAAUGGAAAUAAACAAGAAAUUCAAACUUGAGCUCUUUGAUGGAGGCACUGUGUCUAUAUUUGACAGUGGAAUCAUUGUGAUUCAAGGUACAGAAGAAAACCUUGAUGCAUUUGAGAACAGGUUUGACACAAUUAAACAAAACGUAAACAGCAGAAGACAAGAACAGGUGCAGAAAACAUUACAGCAAAUGAAAGUUGAAGAAUCUGAUUCUGAAACAGAAGGACGAGACAAACAGAAACAGUCUAAAUGAAAUGUGAUACAACAAGAAAAAAACAGGAAACAGCAGAAACAAUAUGGACAUUUGAACUAUUAGUAAGUGAAUAUUAAAGUUUUUGCUCCUUGUGUUUAAAAAUUAUUAGAUAUUUAAGUCUGACUUGCAAUAUUUUUAUAAUCUUUAUUCUCUUUUAAAUUCUGCUGUUCAUUUGAUGUAUCAUUGUUUUUUAUAUCAUAUUUCAUAUUACAAAUAUGAAUCUCUUUCAGUCUGUAGGUUUGAAGAAUUAUAGUUUUGUACCCACUGAGGUCCGUCUCAUAUCUGAAGUGGUUGUACAUGUUGUCCAGGUUGAUGGCCUCGUCUGCUUGCAGCUUUGACUUCAUGCACAUCAGCUGGUCCAAAUGGUCCACUUCAAGACAAUUUCUGGAUGCUGUUUUGUUAUCAGCUGUGUACCAACCUGACUUCUACACAACACAACUAAUGGUCCCAAUCCCAUUAAGAAGGCAAGAAAUUCCACAACUGAACCCUGACAAGGCACAUCUGUGAAGUGAAAACCAUUUCAGGAGACUACACGAAGC
ensembl:lncRNA